rnacentral:rRNA from 1 species
CCAGGCCCUACGGGGCGCAGCAGUUGCGAAAACUCCACAAUGCACGAAAGUGUGAUGGGGCUACCCCGAGUGCCGUCCGCUGAGGAUGGCUUUUCUCUUGCUGUAAGGAGGCAGAGAGAAUAAGGAGAGGGCAGCCUGGUGUCAGCCGCCGCGGUAAUACCAGCUCUCCGAGUGGUAGGGAUGAUUAUUGGGCUUAAAGCGUCCGUAGCCGGCUUGACAAGUCUUCUGUUAAAUCCAGCAACCCAAUUGUUGGACUGCGGGAGAUACUGUCAAGCUAGAGAACGGGAGAAGCCGACGGUACUCUCAGGGUAGGAGUGAAAUCCUAUAAUCCUGGGAGGACCACCAGUGGCGUAGGCUGUCGGCUAGAACGUGUCUGACGGUGAGGGACGAAAGCUUGGGGAGCGAACCGGAUUAGAUACCCGGGUAGUCCAAGCUGUAAACGAUGCGGGCUAGGUGUUGGGGUGGCUACGUGCCACUUCAGUGCCGCAGGGAAGCCGUUAAGCCCGCCGCCUGGGGAGUACGGUCGCAAGGCUGAAACUUAAAGGAAUUGGCGGGGGAGCACCACAAGGGGUGAAGCUUGCGGUUUAAUUGGAGUCAACGCCGGGAACCUUACCGGGGGCGACAGCAG